GAGAUGGAAUACUUGUAAAGGCACGUGUGAAAGGAAGGAAGGGAGGCACACGUGCCACGCCCGCCAUCAGACGACCCCAAACCCUAUCUCCCCCUUCGUGUCUCUAGGCUCUCCAGGACACUCUCUUUCAUCGCUUUCGUGCCCUAAUCAACCUCUCAUUCCAAACCCUAACCCUAAUCUAACUCUAACUCCCAAUUCAUGAAAAUUCACGCCCAUUCACCUGCGAUUCCUCUCUCCACCCUGGAAUCUCUUUGAUGCUAUCCUUCACACGCAAGCCCUAGAUAUUCCCCAGCCAUGGAGGGCUCUGCGGACGAUCUCGGAGCCCCUGAGUCCUGGGAGGUCGCUGAUUUGGACGAGAGCAUGAGCAGAUUGAUGCUCUCCUCUUCAUCCUCCAAGAAAGAUUCCUCUUCCUCUUCCUCUCUCGAUGCCUCGGUACCAGCUUCAGCUUCUGCUUCUGCUCCGGCUUUGUCGUCUUCGUCGGUGCCGGUUGGUUCCGGGAUGAUUUCUGAGGACUCUGUCAACCAAGUGGAUCAGUUUCUUCGUGAGGCUCUGCAGAAUCCGCGUGAGCGGCUGUCAAUUCUAAGGAUGGAGCAAGACAUCGAGAAGUUCAUUCAUGAUCCUACUCAACAGCAACUAGAGUUUCAACAGUUGCCUACCUCCUAUCUACGGUUGGCUGCGCACCGUGUGGCUCAGCAUUACUCACUGCAGUCAAUGGUUUUAUUGGACAAUAAUUUACCUGAUGGAUCUGGUUCCAAAAUUAUUGUUCGCAAAACUUCUGAGUGUCGGCUUCCUCUGAUUCGCCUGGCAGACAUCCCUGUAAGCUUACCACCAGAAGAUGGUGGUGUCAUUAAGGUUGCAAUCAAACAGAGGCCUCAGAAACGAUCGCAAAAUGUCAGUUGUGCAAAUUCACAUUCUUUUAAGGCAAAUAAUUCCAAAAGUGUAGAAGAACGAAAAGAGGAGUAUAACAGAGCUCGUGCACGGAUAUUUAACUCUAGUAGUUUUAGUGGUACUGGUGGGGGGAAACCUGAAUGUGAACCAAGGAUGCAGGAUACUUUCCAGCAUGGUUCUGUGAGUUUACCGAAAAUGGAAGAAAAACCUGUUGCUGGAAGUUCUGAUGUCAAUAUUUGCAGGGGUUUGGUUGAUUCUUCUACAAGUAGCAAUAGAUCAGCUAGAAGUAGGGCAGAAAAGGAGCCAAUUGGUAGGUACAAACCAAAUAAUAGGGUGGCUAUCUUUCGGGACCGUGAGAUUGACCGUAAGGAUCCUGAUUAUGACAGGAGCUAUGAUAGGUACCUGCAAAGAUUUGAUCCUGGAUUUGGGUUCAAUGGAGGACCUUACACUAUACAGCCUAUGUACACUCCUGCAGUGAACUACAAUACUGAAUUCCCACAACUUGGAUCAGCUCAUAGGCCUCAAAUUUCUACUGAACACCAACCUCGGCCACUUCCCCAACAUUUAUCUGGUCCAUGGCCUGCACCAUCAACUCCUACAGGAAUUGGGUAUGGUCAUCCAGAGACCAUGAUGUCACCAUUUAAUCCCAAUCAUGUUGGUGCACGCUCCACAUCUACCCUAUAUCUUCCUUCUUCUCAGUAUCCUUGUCAACGUCCUGGAAUGCCUUUCAUCCAUCCUCAUGAACAUGUUCACCAACCUUUUUCACAGUCUCAUCAACAGCAACCUGAUACAAGUUUUGGAUUAGCCCGGCCCCGGUAAGGGGCAUGGGCCAUGCCUGCACCCUGCCAGCUGAAACUCAAGCUUGAAAUAUGACAGCCUGCUACAAUGAUAUCUGUGGUGGUGUAUGUCAUCUCAUUUUGGCAGGAGUGCAGGCAUAGAAAACCGAGGUGGACUGGAGUGACACAUCAAUCUCAUGGAUGUCCUCUAUCAUCCAUUCGAUGAGCCCCUCGGUUCAAUAUGAGGCUUCUUGCAUCUUCAAUGCUGAAGCUCACUGGGAUUGCAGUCCCAUUGUUUGGACAAGCUAUUUAGAAGCUUGUUAUUUCACUGACGAUGAUGAAGAAUGAAAAUUGGAAAAGAAUUAGCAGAGCUGGACAUGUGCAGCAUUGGUUCAGAUGGAGUGUCGUAUAGAGAGAGCCCAAGGGAAAAUAUCAGUCAGUAUUGUUGUUGGCGGGGAAAGAUAUGGUGCACAGCCGAUUCCUUUGAAGAAGGCUCUGAUCUGAUCAUCACUCUCCAUGCUUUAGUAGAACAUUUUCUGUGCUGAAAUAAUUAAAGUGAACCACAUAUAUUUGUACCAUAUGAAACACCUGCUUCUGGGGUAGCGGUCUAUGGUGGUCGUAAAGCUCUCGGUCCAGAGUGAGAGUGGGAGUUAUGGUGUGUAGUAAGUUGAUGGUGGCUCGUUCAGUACUGCCCUGUUGCUUGUCUAGUGAUGUUUUGAUAUUCACCAUGUUUGUGGGCAGGGUAGCCACUGUCAUGUAGUAUCUUGUUCAUUUGUUUUCUAAAGAAAGGUCCAAAGGCACAAAGCUUUGUAUGUAAAGGGGGUGGGGUCCAUAAUGAGGAUGGAUGACGAGGGAAGGCAUUGAUCCAUUUGGAGAUGGCUUGCACUUGCAGAGAUCAGAGAGAAGAUGCUUCUUGUCUUUGGCCGAAGGCACCCUCACCCAUAACGCAGCAUUGGCAGUUGCUACUAAGCCAACUACAGGUUUAUUCACAAUUACGGUCUCUCUCUCUCUCUCUCUCUCCAUAAUUUCUCUAAAGUCUAAUAAAAUUCCUAUCAAUCAAAGCACCUAUUUCCAUUGAUCAAA